rnacentral:rRNA from 1 species
CGGAUUGAAGGCUGAAAUUACGCCUUCAUAAAGCUGGAAUUGCUAGUAAUGGCAGGUCAGCAUACUGCCGUGAAUACGUUCCCGGGCCUUGUACACACCGCCCGUCACACCAUGAGAGUUGGGAAUACCCGAAGCCUGUGAGCUAACUGUAAGGAGGCAGCAGUCGAAGGUAGAAUCAAUGAUUGGGGUGAAGUCGUAACAAGGUACC